GCUGGACAUGGUGGCAUAUAUCUGUAGUCCCAGUUACUCAGGAGGCUGAGGCAGGAGGAUCACUUGAGCACAGGAAUUCUGGGCUUAGUGUGUUAUACCACAGUCAGGUGUCUGUGUUAAGUUCGGCAUCAAUAUUGUCACCUCCUGGGAUGGAGGGGCCACUAGGUUGCUUAAGGAAGGUGAAACACUCCAGGUUAGAAAUAGCAGGUCAAACUCUCUUGCUGAUCAGUAGUGGAAUUGUGCCUGUGAAUAGUCACUGCAUUCCAGCCUGUCUCUAAAACAAACAA
rnacentral:SRP_RNA from 1 species